rnacentral:rRNA from 1 species
UGCACGGCUGUCGUCAGCUCGUGUCGUGAGAUGUUGGGUUAAGUCCCGCAACGAGCGCAACCCACGUAUUUAGUUGCUAACGGUUCGGCCGAGCACUCUAAAUAGACUGCCUUCGUAAGGAGGAGGAAGGUGUGGACGACGUCAAGUCAUCAUGGCCCUUAUGCCCAGGGCGACACACGUGCUACAAUGGCAUAUACAAUGAGACGCAAUACCGCGAGGUGGAGCAAAUCUAUAAAAUAUGUCCCAGUUCGGAUUGUUCUCUGCAACUCGAGAGCAUGAAGCCGGAAUCGCUAGUAAUCGUAGAUCAGCCAUGCUACGGUGAAUACGUUCCCGGGUCUUGUACUCACCGCCCGUCACACCAUGGGAGUUGAUUUCACUCGAAGCCGGAAUACUAAACUAGUUACCGUCCACAGUGGAAUCAGCGACUGGGGUGAAGUCGUAACAAGGUAACCGUAGGAGAACCUGCGGUUGGAUCACCUCCUUUCUAG